AGGUUUGUUAUUGGGAAACAGUUGCCCAGCCAGGAAUGCAGUUUCCAGCAUUCUGCACCUCUAGGGUAUUCACCAAACAACUCCUUAAAAAUGAAAACUCGUGAUGGUCCAAUGGAAUGACUCUAAUGAAACUGAUGAAAUUUCAGACAAUGUGACAAAAAAUGAAGGAAGAAAUCCUGAGCAGACACAACCAAAUGUCUUUCAAGCCACACAAGCUGAGCCACAAGUCUUGCAGGA